rnacentral:rRNA from 1 species
UGCUGUCGACGAUUAACCCGUGCUUGCACGGGUGGAUUAGUGGCUAACGGGUGAGUAUCACGUGAGUAACCUGCCCUUGACUCUGGGAUAAUCCUGGGAAACUGGGUCUAAUACCGGAUAUGACCACUCCUCGCAUGAGGUGCUGGUGGAAAGAUUUUAUCGGUCUUGGAUGGACUCACGGCCUAUCAGCUAGACGGUGAGGUAAUGGCUCACCGUGGCGAUGACGGGUAGCCGGCCUGAGAGGGUGACCGGCCACACUGGGACUGAAACACGGCCCAAACUCCUACGGGAGGCAGCAGUGGGGAAUAUUGCACAAUGGGCGCAAGCCUGAUGCAGCGACGCCGCGUGCGGGAUGACGGCCUUCGGGUUGUAAACCGCUUUCUUCAGGGAAGAAUCUUUUGUGACGGUACCUGCAUAAGAAGCGCCGGCUAACUACGUGCCACAGCCGCGGUAAUACGUAGGGCGCGAGCGUUAUCCGGAAUUAUUGGGCGUACAGAGCUCGUAGGCGGCUUGUCGCGUCUGCUGUGAAAGCCCGGGGCUUAACCCCGGGUGUGCAGUGGGUACUGGCAGCUAAAGUGCAUUAGGGGAAACUGGAAUUCCUGGUGUGCGGUGAAAUGCUGGAUAUCAGGAGGAACACCGAUGGCGAAGCGAUCUCUGGGCUGAACUGACGCUGAGGACCAAACCUGGGGAGCGAACAGGAUUGAUACCUGGUAGUCAUGCCUAAACGUUGGGCACUAGGUGUGGGGGACAUUACACGUUGUCGCGCCAUUCUAAGCAUUAAUGCCCGCCGGGAGUACGCCGCAGGCUAAUCUCAACGAAUGACGGGGCCGCGCAUCGGCGAGCUGCGAUUGUUCGAGCACGCGAGAACCUACCAGGCAGACUGCACCGAUCCUGC